CACAAUGGCUUUGGUAAACUGGCUGGUACAGAUUCCUGGACGUCAGGCAUGGAGGCUGUGCCCUUGUCUUGCAACUACUUCAGCUGUCCCUUCAAUAGGGGCUGCCUCCCCAGGAUGAGAAAAUUUGGGACUGGCAGUGAGGUAGACUGCUUAAGGGGUCACUUCUGGGACAUCUUCUGUGUGGAUACCAGGAGGCUGGGGACAGGAAAAUGGAAGCAGUAUAAUCCCUGCUGUCUCUUGAAAAGCUUCCACUGUGGUGGAGACAGAUGCAAGCAGAGAAACAAGUGUUACAGACAGACGGUGGUCCCUCUGGCCAUAUCUGGAGAUAGAUCAGAGGAAGAAGAGGGAAAGACUACAUACAGAGACAUUGUUUCUCAAGUUGAGUCUCGUCUGCAGCACAACUCUGCGGAGCUGCACCAUACCUGGGAACCACCCAGGUUUAAUUUGUUUUUAAAGUUAGCCCACUUAAAAAAAAAUUUCUUUAAACAAGUUAGUGAGUAAGAAAAACGAAGAGACCCUCUGGCUUUAGCAUGGUACUCAGGGCUAGAGGACAGAAGCUGGCAACGGCAGAAAAGUGAAAAAAGUG
ensembl:lncRNA